CUCUUUUCGACCCACUGCCGCCUUUCCGUUGGGCCACUGCCGCGUCCGUCCGUCGAGCUGGGCCGCUGUCCGUCCGUGUAGCCACUGCCCCCAAAUCUCCAACCCCCCUGCUCUCUUCUUCCGCGAGCUCGCCCCAUCCCCUACUCUUUGCAUCUUCUCGCCAUCGGCUUCAUCUUCUUGCCGUCGUCUGGUCGGCGUCGUCCAUCAAUCAAGGUCUGUCGGCGCCGUCUUCGAAGUAGCAUGCUUGUCCAAGAUCCUACCAAAGGUACCAAUGUGGAUGAUAUUUUUUAUCAAGCGAGACAGUCAACUGUUGAUCCACCUUCUGAAAAUACAUCAAGAUUUAUCAAGAAUGUAUCAAAGUGAAUGACUUAAGCAGAGAAACCACGGAGAGCAAAAAGCAGCUCUUUCCAAUGAAUUCAAUAUUUCAACACUCUUCUCCGCCACGUUCAACUGCCACCAUUACCACCCUUCUCAAGGCCUGCAAGACCAUUCAUCACCUCUACCAAGUCCACGCCUCCAUCAUCCAACGAGGCCUAGAGCAAGAUCACCUUAUCAUCUCCCGCUUCAUUUCCAUUUCCGCCUCCUUUGCCGCCACUGCUUCAUAUUACACCGCCGUCUUUGACUGCGUCCUUAGCCCUUCUCCUUUCCUAUGGAACUCCCUCAUCGGAGCCCACACCAAAGGAAGUUAUUUUUUUGACACCCUCUCUACUUUUAUUCGCAUGAAAGCACAUGGGUCUCUUCCCGAUAGGUACACUUACUCUUCUGUGAUUAAGGCCUGUUCAAGCAUGUCUAGGUCCUGGGAAGGAAAAUUGCUCCAUGGCUCGGCAUUGAGGUGUGGGGUUGAAGGUAAUAUGUUUGUUGGAACCUGUUUGGUCGAUAUGUAUGGGAAAUGUGGAAAGAUUGGUGACGCUCGCAAGGUGUUUGAUGGAAUGUGUGAGAAGAAUGUAGUUUCAUGGACGGCUAUAGUGGUUGGCUAUGUGAAGGAUGGGGAUAUGGUGGAGGCAAAGAGGCUGUUUGAUGAAAUGCCUCAGAGGAAUGUGACAUCAUGGAAUGUGAUGAUAUGGGGUUUUGUGAAGGUGGGGGAUUUGGGCAAUGCUAGGGUAGUGUUUGAUGCUAUGCCAAAAAAGAGUGUUGUUUCUUUCACGAUCAUGAUUGAUGGCUAUGCAAAGGCUGGUGACAUGGCUACCUCAAGGUUCUUGUUCGACCAAGCUCCGGAAAAGGAUAUUGUUGCAUGGUCUACUUUGAUAUCAGGGUAUGUACAGAAUGGUCAACCUAACAGGGCCUUGAGAGUAUUUCUUGAGAUGGAGUCAAUGAACGUGAAACCUGAUGAAUUCAUAUUGGUUAGCUUGAUGUCGGCUUCUUCUCAGUUGGGUAAUUUAGAACUGGCUCGAUGGGUUGAUUCUUAUGUAAACAAGAGCUCUAUUGAUAUGAAACAGGACCACGUGAUUGCAGCGCUUCUGGAUAUGAAUGCUAAAUGUGGAAACAUGGAAAGGGCAUUAAAAUUAUUUGAAGAAAUGCCUAACCGUGAUCUAGUCUCAUAUUGUUCGAUGAUACAAGGGUUGUCAAUUCAUGGAUUCGAGGAAGAUGCACUGAAGUUCUUUAACAGGAUGGUGACGGAUGGGCUAACUCCGGAUGAGGUGGCCUUCAAAAUCAUUCUAACAGCUUGUAGUCAUGCGGGACUUGUUGAUGAGGGCUGGAACUACUUUCGCUCUAUGAAGGAAAAGUACUGUGUUAGUCCUUCACCUGAUCACUAUGCAUGUAUGGUUGACCUUCUAAGUCGAUCAGGGCAUUUACGGGAUGCCUAUGAGCUUAUAAAAGUAAUGCCGGUGGAAUCUCAUGCUGCUGCCUGGGGUGCACUUCUUGGGGCAUGUAAAGCAUACGGUGAUUCAGAGUUAGGAGAGAUUGCUGCUAAUCAACUUUUUGAGAUUGAACCUCAAAAUGCUGCUAACUAUGUGCUGUUGUCUAACAUCUAUGCAGCAGCGGAUCGAUGGAUAGAUGUUUCCCUUGUAAGAACGAAGAUGAGGAACAGUAGGGUGCGAAAGGUACCUGGUUGCAGUCAGUUUAAUCCAGACUUGGGCUCUUUGGCCUUUUAAGCUUCCAAAAUUGCAUAUAUGAAGCUGUAAAUUUGAAAAUUCUGUGCGGAAGCUAAGCUGCUAAACAUCGUAGACCAAGAAUAAGUUCUGAUAAAGGUCAUGGCUGAUCCAACCUCACCUGCUCCUCAAAAGGGUCAAUCCUCAUCUUCUGAUCAGUGGAUCUUGAAAGAGUUGUAAGGGACACUCAUGGUUAUAUAGGAGCAGACCUUGAAUAAGAGAUUUUAUUCUGCAGUGUAUAAGAGAGAAGAUGGAUGUGAUUGACUUGGAGGAUGAAUUGAGUGAUAUUGAGAUUUUGAAUUCUAUGGUUGUCACCAAUGAGCACUUCCAAACUGCUUUGACUUCUUCAAACCCAUCUGUGUUGUGUGCAAAAGUUCCAAAUGUUUCCUAUGAUGAUAUUGGAGGUCUGGAGAAUGUUAAAAGGGAGCUUCAAGAGAUUUUCCUGCAAGAAUCUAUGUCCCUAAAUUCAGCAUACAAGUCAACCAGAGUUCUGCCAACCACCAUAUCAACGUCGGCACCAAACUUAAACACCAGCCCAUGAACUUCCCUAACCUAGUCCAACAACGAAUAACACUUGAACAAGCCAAUAAAAGUACUGUGAUCAGGUCUUAAGAAAUGAACCUCCUCAUUUCACUAAACAACCUCUUCACCACACCAAAUUUACCAACUUGAGCAAAUCCAGAAACCAUUACAUUCCAAGCAACAAGGUCCCUCUCCAACAAUUCAUGAAAGACACAACAAGCAACACAUAUACAUAUUAAGAGAGCUCCCAGCAAACUUGUCCCUCUCAAGGCCACACCGAACCAACACCAUGAAGCUGCAAACCAACAUCCCUCAAACCAGGAUCAGCACAAGCACGGAGCAGUGCAGAUAACGUGUACUCAUUGGGACUCUCACCAACCUCACGCAUGUGAUUGAACAUGUCAAAGGCUUUUGGGAGAUACCCAUUUCUAAGAUUUGCAGAAAUUAAGGUUGUCCAAGUGAUAACGUUCUUGUGGGGCAUUUGGUCGAACAGGUGGUGGGUAUAGCUGAAUUGGCCACAUUUGGAAUAAAGGCUCAAAAGGUUAUUUGCCAAAUGCGUCUGCGAGAUGCAUUGGGUGACUAAAAGCUUUGCAUGAAUUUGUUUGCACUCUGCGAGCGUUGUGGGGUUUGAAGACUUCGCCAAUGACAACAAAAACUGGUGAAGAUGUUUAACUCAUUGUGAUUGGAUUGUAACAAAUUAAGUUCUUAUUGGUUUUACACAAAAACCUAGAGAACAAGAUAUUACCAUAUCAUGGUUUAAUAAUAACAUAGACACAGUUAAUUUCGUCCAAAAAUAACUGUCAUUUUUUAUGUAUCUAGUCACGAAUGGAAUAGAUAUAUAUAUAAAAAUACGAUAGUUUUUUUUGGAUGGAAAAUAUGUUGUUGAAGCUUCUUAAAUUUAUUUUACUUGAAUAUGAUGGUUUUGAUUCCAUGAUUUUUUGACAUGAUCAUGAACUAUCCAAUGUAUAUGCUACUUAUAGUCUUA